rnacentral:tRNA from 1 species
GGCUCUGUAGUGCAAUGGUAGCAUGCCUGCCACGUGUGAGGAUGUCUUAUACCAAGUGAGACUCACGUCUCAUCUUGAAGAACCCCACCCGUUCAUAGCACUUCCGCCUUUUGGUUGUGUACAGGAGAUCCACGUUCGAGUCGUGGUGGAGCUA